rnacentral:rRNA from 1 species
AGAGUUUGAUCCUGGCUCAGGAUGAACGCUAGCGGCAGGCUUAAUACAUGCAAGUCGUGGGGCAGCAGGUUUGUAGCAAUACAAAUGCUGGCGACCGGCAAACGGGUGCGUAACACGUACGCAAUCUACCCAUUACAGGGGAAUAGCCCAGGGAAACUUGGAUUAAUACCCCAUAUUAUAUAGGAUUGGCAUCAGUCUUAUAUCAAAGCUUCGGCGGUAAUGGAUGAGCGUGCGGUUGAUUAGAUAGUUGGCGGGGUAACGGCCCACCAAGUCUACGAUCAAUAGCUGAUGUGAGAGCAUGAUCAGCCACACGGGCACUGAGACACGGGCCCGACUCCUACGGGAGGCAGCAGUAAGGAAUAUUGGGCAAUGGACGAAAGUCUGACCCAGCCAUGCCGCGUGAAGGAUGAAGGUCCUCUGGAUUGUAAACUUCUUUUAUCUGGGGCGAAAAUCACCCUUUCUAGGGUGCUUGACAGUACCAGAGGAAUAAGCACCGGCUAACUCCGUGCCAGCAGCCGCGGUAAUACGGAGGGUGCAAGCGUUAUCCGGAUUUACUGGGUUUAAAGGGUGCGUAGGCGGGCAGGUAAGUCAGUGGUGAAAUCCCCGAGCUUAACUCGGGAACUGCCGUUGAUACUAUCUGUCUUGAAUAUCGUGGAGGUAAGCGGAAUAUGUCAUGUAGCGGUGAAAUGCUUAGAUAUGACAUAGAACACCAAUUGCGAAGGCAGCUUGCUACACGAUUAUUGACGCUGAGACACGAAAGCGUGGGGAUCAAACAGGAUUAGAUACCCUGGUAGUCCACG